rnacentral:rRNA from 1 species
CAGCCGCCGCGGGAAUACGGAGGAUCCAAGCGUUAUCCGGAAUCAUUGGGUUUAAAGGGUCCGUAGGCGGUUUAGUAAGUCAGUGGUGAAAACCCAUCGCUCAACGGUGGAACGGCCAUUGAUACUGCUGAACUUGAAUUAUUAGGAAGUAACUAGAAUAUGUAGUGUAGCGGUGAAAUGCUUAGAGAUUACAUGGAAUACCAAUUGCGAAGGCAGGUUACUACUAAUUGAUUGACGCUGAUGGACGAAAGCGUGGGGAGCGAACAGGAUUAGAGACCCGAGUAGUCCCUGUCUCUUAUAC